rnacentral:rRNA from 1 species
GAUGAACGCUGGCGGCGUGCCUAAUACAUGCAAGUCGAGCGAACGGACGAGAAGCUUGCUUCUCUGAUGUUAGCGGCGGACGGGUGAGUAACACGUGGAUAACCUACCUAUAAGACUGGGAUAACUUCGGGAAACCGGAGCUAAUACCGGAUAAUAUUUUGAACCGCAUGGUUCAAAAGUGAAAGACGGUCUUGCUGUCACUUAUAGAUGGAUCCGCGCUGCAUUAGCUAGUUGGUAAGGUAACGGCUUACCAAGGCAACGAUGCAUAGCCGACCUGAGAGGGUGAUCGGCCACACUGGAACUGAGACACGGUCCAGACUCCUGCGGGAGGCAGCAGUAGGGAAUCUUCCGCAAUGGGCGAAAGCCUGACGGAGCAACGCCGCGUGAGUGAUGAAGGUCUUCGGAUCGUAAAACUCUGUUAUUAGGGAAGAACAUAUGUGUAAGUAACUGUGCACAUCUUGACGGUACCUAAUCAGAAAGCCACGGCUAACUACGUGCCAGCAGCCGCGGUAAUACGUAGGUGGCAAGCGUUAUCCGGAAUUAUUGGGCGUAAAGCGCGCGUAGGCGGUUUUUUAAGUCUGAUGUGAAAGCCCACGGCUCAACCGUGGAGGGUCAUUGGAAACUGGAAAACUUGAGUGCAGAAGAGGAAAGUGGAAUUCCAUGUGUAGCGGUGAAAUGCGCAGAGAUAUGGAGGAACACCGGUGGCGAAAGCGGCUCUCUGGCUUGUAACUGACGCUGAGGCUCGAAAGCGUGGGGAGCAAACAGGAUUAGAUACCCUGGUAGUCCACGCCGUAAACGAUGAGUGCUAGGUGUUAGACCCUUUCCGGGGUUUAGUGCCGUAGCUAACGCAUUAAGCACUCCGCCUGGGGAGUACGACCGCAAGGUUGAAACUCAAAGGAAUUGACGGGGGCCCGCACAAGCGGUGGAGCAUGUGGUUUAAUUCGAAGCAACGCGAAGAACCUUACCAGGUCUUGACAUCCCUCUGACCGCUCUAGAGAUAGAGUUUUCCUUCGGGACAGAGGUGACAGGUGGUGCAUGGUUGUCGUCAGCUCGUGUCGUGAGAUGUUGGGUUAAGUCCCGCAACGAGCGCAACCCCUAUUGUUAGUUGCCAUCAUUCAGUUGGGCACUCUAGCGAGACUGCCGGUAAUAAACCGGAGGAAGGUGGGGAUGACGUCAAACCAUCAUGCCCCUUAUGACCUGGGCUACACACGUGCUACAAUGGCUGGUACAACGAGUCGCAAGCCGGUGACGGCAAGCUAAUCUCUUAAAGCCAGUCUCAGUUCGGAUUGUAGGCUGCAACUCGCCUACAUGAAGUCGGAAUCGCUAGUAAUCGCGGAUCAGCACGCCGCGGUGAAUACGUUCCCGGGCCU